CUUACCGGGUCCGGACACACUGAGGAUUGACAGGUAACGUUAUACACACAUAUAUUUACUCUCGGGUAUUUAUACUGCUGUGUAUAUAUAAAAUAUGCUAGUCCUUUCAUGAUUAUGUGAUAGGUGGUGCAUGGCCGUUCUUAGUUCGUGGAGUGAUCUGUCUGCUUAAUUGCGUUUCACUAAGGAUCUAUAUUCAUAUUACGCAUAGCAUUUUGACCCCUUUAUGCUUCGGUAUAAAGCUGCGCGUCAAACCUUGCUAUCUGCGUAUAUUAGAUCCUGAAAGCAACGAACGUGACCGCAACCUCUUGUUGCCUUUAAYUAGGUUUUGCUUACGUAUAGCUUCGGCUUUACGCUUUGCAUCUAAAAAGGCUGAUUUUCUAAACUAGAGGGACCGCUGUUACUUUCUUAAACCAGAGGAAGGUUGCGGCAAUAACAG
rnacentral:rRNA from 1 species